rnacentral:rRNA from 1 species
AGUGAACGCUGGCGGUAGGCCUAACACAUGCAAGUCGAACGGCAGCACAGUAAGAGCUUGCUCUUACGGGUGGCGAGUGGCGGACGGGUGAGGAAUACAUCGGAAUCUACUUUUUCGUGGGGGAUAACGUAGGGAAACUUACGCUAAUACCGCAUACGACCUACGGGUGAAAGCAGGGGAUCUUCGGACCUUGCGCGAUUGAAUGAGCGGAUGUCGGAUUAGCUAGUUGGCGGGGUAAAGGCCCACCAAGGCGACGAUCCGUAGCUGGUCUGAGAGGAUGAUCAGCCACACUGGAACUGAGACACGGUCCAGACUCCUACGGGAGGCAGCAGUGGGGAAUAUUGGACAAAGGGCGCAAGCCUGAUCCAGCCAUACCGCGUGGGUGAAGAAGGCCUUCGGGUUGUAAAGCCCUUUUGUUGGGAAAGAAAAGCAGCAGGUUAAUACCCCGCUGUUCUGACGGUACCCAAAGAAUAAGCACCGGCUAACUUCGUG